rnacentral:rRNA from 1 species
GUCGGUUUCUCGAAUUAUCAUCAUGAUGGUUAGGAGGAGCAUACACACACCGCACAUAUACGAUGUGGUUACUCAUAUACAAAGUGAUCACACAAACUCGUGUUGUUUGUUUCUUUCACUCUUUCUCUCUCAUCGUCAAUCAUCAACGCCCAAGUGUAGCCCGCCGUAGCCUGCGCCACUUGCGACGGUAGGGACAGCGCCGGGGUCAACACGCAGCUUGCGCCGGUAGGAGCGGUAGUUCGCGGGGGACGGGGACGGUAGCUCCCGGUGGGAGGAACGGCCAUUACAGGACUGGGCGGAGGGACCACCCGUUGAAGGUCUAGGUGGAGGGACCAGCCGCUGAAGGUCUAGGCGGAGGGAGUGGCACGACUCCGUGCAAACACUACCGGGGCUUCAGAGGAAGUCCUUACACACGGACAAGCACGGCACCUACAAGUCGGUUCCGCUUUCCACCAUACAAGCACUCCAAGAAGUAUUAUUGGAAGUCCUUGCCUUACCUUGUAAACGCAGCCAUGAUAUAGGUCCAGUGUUUAGUGAAAUGUGUUUAAGUUCUGUCACAUGUACCGAUAGUCCUUCUAUGGAUGCUCCCUGGGCUUCUAUAAAGCGAAGGCCCCGUGCACUAAAAAAGUGAAGGCCCCGUGCACUAAAAAAGUAAACCCUUCACUCUUCGUGUGACUAUAAACGAAGGGCUCCACAAAAAGCGUAUUGCACGCGACAGUAGCCCUCCCAACCCAGUUUUAUGGAUUUUGUACUAGUUCAUCACGGGGGUAACACGAUGAUCAGGGUGAGGGUGCUAGCCAGAUGGAGGUGGCAGGUUGUGGCGGUGAGGGGGGUAUAGCCGGAAGAUCAAAACCAGACGGCGGAGGGAGGUUUAGAUCUCCACGGGUGGAGUGGUAGCUCACGGGGGACGGAGACAGCAAGUACCGGUGGGAGGAACGACCUCUGUAGGUCUAGGCGGAGGGAUCAGCCGCUGAAGGUAUAGACGGAGGGAGCGGCACGUCUCCACACGUUAGAAUGAAACCUCUAAGGCUCCUCGCUCUAGUCACUGACGUCUGUUCUAGAAUGUGUUUCUGAAGGGUUCCAAUGUAAGCACCUGCAUACGUCAACGUGGUUCUAACCGCGGGUACGAGACAUCGGUAAAGGGUUCUUGACGUUUUGGGAGUAGUAUGAAGCCGCCCAGCACGUGGGUUAACUACAACAACCCUUCCAAACGGUCUUACUACUCCAGAUACGAAGACGGUCGUUUUACGGUUUCGAGGCUGUGGAGCUCUAUACUUUGUACGAGUAAUUCUGAUUCAACAACAGUUCUAGCGGAGGCUCACGUUAUUGGAGUUCACGAAUCUAACCGCACCAACAACCCUACAGCUACUAUUCGAGAACGUUCUAUUCAAAGGAUGCGAAUUUUGGGAACCCGGGUACACCGCUGACGAUAGUCUUGACGAAGUCCCUCCUAACGUGACCACUGAGCCUACUACUUAUCUAGAUGAGUACGUUUUAAAGUACCUGCAGUACUCUUGGCGUAGAUGCUUCAAACGUGGUAGGUACUUGACCAGGGUACUUAUCUACAUUAGUAGUAGGUUCAUUAGCCACGUGAGCAGCGUCUACACCAAGAGUAUCGUCAGCGCGACUCCAAAAAGUCGGUUCCUAUGAAGAGAACGUUCUCGAAUAGGAGCUGCAGGCCGUUGUUACACCUUUAUUAUUGAACUCCAGUUCCGUGACCCUCCGCUAGAUCUACUGUUGGAAUCAGAAUUACUCGUACAUAGGAUAGAUCUCCACCGCCUCGAAACCGUACAACGAAGGAUAUCUUACCCGGAGCAGUAAGACAGUGUGGAAACGUUCCUGUAGAUACCCCACGUACUGAGCGGUACAGACUGCUCCCUAAAGAUAAAUAACGGUUUACGUAGUUCUCGUGACCGUGGUUAGAUACACGUCGACGAAUGUAGGUCCUUACAUUGGAACCUGUCAUAAACACGUUGUAGAAGGUGAUGCGUCAGCGAUUAGAGUGAGGAGCUUUAGAGAUUUCAUAACUCUCUAACGCGUGAACGUUUUUAUUUGUACCAACCCAGUCAUACCAAAUUGUUUUAUAAUACCUAUCCCAGUAGCCAUUUGUUUCAUAAUAUAUUUACUACGUACUGGGAACAAUAACAUCCCGGCUAUUAACCUUACAAUGUUACUAUAAAGACUUACCUACGUGGCACGAGCUAAUUUACUAUAAUUGGUACCGAUAUUUGACUCAAAGAUUGUGUUAGCGUCACUCUUUUAUCAAAUCUCGGUUUUUCCUGGCCUUGUAACAUCUUAAGGCUUUACCAACCAUUAUAUUAAAAAUUGUACAAGAAAGUGCGAUUGCACAUCCUAGAUCAUAGUACAGCGUUGUAAAGAGUGAUAGUCUUUUGACUAGAAACUAAUAAACUUUUCUAAGAGGACACUCAAAGAUUUAUUAAUUUACUUGUUGACUAAGUGGAUACCUCCUACUUCACUCCGCGUGAUAAAAGUGUAGAGUUUCGGCAUCCGGUACUGCCAAACAUACGUUAGAAGAUGUUCUUUAUAACCGUAAAGCAAGCAGGUUUCUAAUGUGUCCUUCAGAGGUCGCACUGUUUGAUCUCCCUUUAUUGUCUCCACCAUAUUACUGUGGCAUCAUCUAUAUUAAGUUUUCUACGAACGAUUUUUGGAUUUCUACUAAAAUGAUCUCUAUUAAAAUGGUUGGGUUUAAGUCAUGGGCUUUGAUUCAAAAACCACUACGAAAUCUGUGGAAGCAAUAGCGGGGCUUCGGAGAAGUUCUUACACACGGACAAGGACUACUCCUACAAGUCGGCUCCGCUUUCCACCAAUGCCAGGACUGCAAGAGCUAUUACUGGAAGUUCCUACUCUUAUUGUAAGUCCUUACCUCACCUUGCAAACGCAGUCAUCAUAUAAGUUUAGUGCUUAGUGAAACGUGUUUAAGUCCUUGCACAUGUACCGACAGUCCUUCUAUGGAUACGUCCUGGGCUUCUAUGAAAGCGAAGGCUCCGUGCACCAAAAAAGUAAACCCCACACUGUUCGUGCGCUUAUAAAACGAGAGCUCCACAGAAAGCGUACUAAACACGGGGGUAGUACGAUGAACAGGGCGAGGGUGCUACCGAGUUGGCGGGGGCAGGUCGCGGCGGUGAAGGGGGCAUGGCAGGCAGGAUAAGACAGACAGCGGAGGGAGGGUUAGAUCAGGGUGAAGCCGUAACUCGCGGGGGAUGGGGACGGCAGUUCCCGGUGGCAGGGACGCCCGCUGCAGAUCUAGGCAGACUAACGAGCCGUUUAAGGUUUAGACGGAAGCACCAGCCGUUGAAGGUCUAGGCGGAGAGAUCAGUCGUUGAAGGUCUAGGCGGAGGGAGCGGUACGUCUCCACUGAGGGAGGGGUAUGUAUGGGAGCAAGAAGAGAAGGGAUGGGUUAGGUCAAAAACACAGUUUAUUAACUGUACACGACGCCUCAACGUUUAUUUAAAUAAGUAUAAAACAUGAAACACGUAGAAAUACAGGCACGUUUCUUGAAGAUAUACAGUUUCUUUAAAGAUAUAUCCGACUUUAAAACAAAAGUUUAGACACAUGUUACCAUGUAAAAACGGAAAAAUCAAUUCUUAAAGUAAAACAUGAACAACUUAUAUAACACAUGCACAUAUAACACAGAACCCGGCUGGAGGAUCAAGGAAACAUAUCAACUCCAACACCGGGGAAGACGUGAGUACACACGUGGCUAGUUAUGUAACACGACGUGUCGGAUAAGAAAGGGAAAAUGUACCAUAGUCAAAGGCCCAAGAUUUGGGAUCGCAAGGCGGUGGCGGCGGCGUCGCGCGCGGAGGAGACGACGCGGCGGCGGUAGGUCGGCGGCGGGCGCGCAGAGGGCGCGGCCGGCGGCGAGGAUAGAGAGGGUCGGGCGAGCGCAACGGACAUGAGGUCGAGCGGGCGCAGCGUACAUCGACGAAGGGCGCAGCGGGCAUGAGGUCGAAGGCGCAGUGGGCGGUUCAGGACGGAGCGAUCGUGGCGAGUCAUCCUAGAGUGCAUGCGGGCCGACCGUUGCCACCAAAAGGCUAGCGG